rnacentral:rRNA from 1 species
GCGAUCAUACGGCACUAAUGCACCGGAUCCCAUCGAACUCCGAGUUAAGCGUCUUUGGGCGAGAGCGAUCUAGGAUGGGUGACCCACAGGAAGUCCUCGUGUUGCACCU